GAAAGCAUCCGUGCCCGGUGGCACGGCCGGGCUUCAAACCCGGUUGGGGGCGUCAGACGUUCCCAGGUAGGUUCGACUCCUGCUGCUUUCCGCCA
rnacentral:tRNA from 8 species